AUUGAACGCUGGCGGCAUGCCUUACACAUGCAAGUCGAACGGUAACGGGCCUUCGGGUGCCGACGAGUGGCGAACGGGUGAGUAAUGUAUCGGAACGUACCUUUCAGUGGGGGAUAACGUAGCGAAAGUUACGCUAAUACCGCAUAUUCUGUGAGCAGGAAAGCAGGGGAUCGCAAGACCUUGCGCUGAUUGAGCGGCCGAUAUCAGAUUAGCUAGUUGGUGAGGUAAAGGCUCACCAAGGCGACGAUCUGUAGCGGGUCUGAGAGGAUGAUCCGCCACACUGGAACUGAGACACGGUCCAGACUCCUACGGGAGGCAGCAGUGGGGAAUUUUGGACAAUGGGGGCAACCCUGAUCCAGCCAGGGCCGCGUGAGUGAAGAGGCC
rnacentral:rRNA from 1 species